GACGAACGCUGGCGGCGUGCUUAACACAUGCAAGUCGAACGGAAAGGCCCUGCUUUUGUGGGGUGCUCGAGUGGCGAACGGGUGAGUAACACGUGAGUAACCUGCCCUUGACUUUGGGAUAACUUCAGGAAACUGGGGCUAAUACCGGAUAGGAGCUCCUGCUGCAUGGUGGGGGUUGGAAAGUUUCGGCGGUUGGGGAUGGACUCGCGGCUUAUCAGCUUGUUGGUGGGGUAGUGGCUUACCAAGGCUUUGACGGGUAGCCGGCCUGAGAGGGUGACCGGCCACAUUGGGACUGAGAUACGGCCCAGACUCCUACGGGAGGCAGCAGUGGGGAAUAUUGCACAAUGGGCGGAAGCCUGAUGCAGCAACACCGCGGGCGGGAUGACGGCCUUCGGGUUGUAAACCGCUUUCGCCUGUGACGAAGCGUGAGUGACGGUAAUGGGUAAAGAAGCACCGGCUAACUACGUG
rnacentral:rRNA from 1 species